GUCCACGCCGUAAACGAUGGGUACUAGGCGUCGGGGGGAGCGACCCCUUCGGUGCCGUCGCUAACGCAGUAAGUACCCCGCCUGGGGAGUACGGCCGCAAGGCUGAAACUCAAAGGAAUUGACGGGGGCCCGCACAAGCGGUGGAGCAUGUGGUUCAAUUCGAAGCAACGCGAAGAACCUUACCUGGGCUUGACAUGCACGGGAAAGCCGGUGGAAACAUCGGCCCCUCUUCGGAGUCCGUGCACAGGUGCUGCAUGGCUGUCGU
rnacentral:rRNA from 1 species